ACGGGAGGCAGCAGUGAGGAAUAUUGGUCAAUGGGCGUAAGCCUGAACCAGCCAAGUAGCGUGAGGGAGGACUGCCCUAUGGGUUGUAAACCUCUUUUGUUUGGGAAUAAAGUGCCCCACGUGUGGGGCAUUGCAUGUACCUUUCGAAUAAGCAUCGGCUAAUUCCGUGCCAGCAGCCGCGGUAGUACGGAAGAUGCGAGCGUUAUCCGGAUUUAUUGGGUUUAAAGGGAGCGUAGGCGGGCUGUUAAGUAAGCGGUCAAAUGUCAGGGCCCACCAUUGGCAUGCCGUUGAUACUGGCGGCCUUGAAUACAGGCAAGGUAAGUGGAAUUCGUCGUGUAGCGGUGAAAUGCUUAGAUAUGACGCAGAACUCCGAUUGCGAAGGCAGCUUACUGGAGUGCGAUUGACGCUGAGGCUCGAAAGUGCGGGAAUCAAACAGGAUUAGAUACCCUGGUA
rnacentral:rRNA from 1 species